rnacentral:rRNA from 1 species
UACGGCGAGUGAGCGGCAACAGCUCAAAUUUGAAAUCUGGCGGCCUCUGGGCCGUCCGAGUUGUAAUUUGAAGAGGAUGCUUUUGGCGAGGCGCCUUCCGAGUGCCCUGGAACGGGACGCCACAGAGGGUGAGAGCCCCGUAUGGUUGGACGCCGAGCCUCUGUAAAGCUCCUUCGACGAGUCGAGUAGUUUGGGAAUGCUGCUCAAAAUGGGAGGUAAACCCCUUCUAAAGCUAAAUACUGGCCAGAGACCGAUAGCGCACAAGUAGAGUGAUCGAAAGAUGAAAAGCACUUUGAAAAGAGAGUUAAACAGCACGUGAAAUUGUUGAAAGGGAAGCGCUUGCGACCAGACUUGUGCCCGUCGAAUCAGCCGCCGCUCGUCGGCGGCGCACUUCGGCGGGCUCAGGCCAGCAUCAGUUCGCUGCAGGGGGAGAAAGGCGAUGGGAAUGUGGCUCUUCGGAGUGUUAUAGCCCGCCGCGCAAUACCCCUCGGCGGACUGAGGACCGCGCAUCUGCAAGGAUGCU